GUCUUCUGUGUCCAUUGGGAUCUCACAGGAACCUACAGGUAUCCCUGGGGAUUUAUGAAGUGACACAAAGGUGAAAGCUUCCAAUCCCCAUAGGAAGGGUUAUGAAGCUGCACAGAUGGCUGCUUCUCAUCCCGGGUUCCUGCCUGAUGCACAGGCAGAGGUUCCAGAUCUUGCUGUAGCUGCUCCAGUGCAUCUUUAACCCCACUCAGUGGUGUGACGGAAAUGGAGUCUGACAGAGCUCAGCAAACCUCAGCCAAAAAAGCCCUUAUUUUGGGAGGUAUUAAUAGAAGAGUUCUACAGAGAUGUGGGACAACCCAGCAGACACAGCCAAGUCUCAUCCCUCCACUCCCUGUCCUCCUAGACCAUGUCUCCGUAGUUCCCUGUGCUGAGAGUGCUGGCCUGGACAAGGCGAUGUGCCAAGCAGGGCAGCACCCUGCUGGCCAUCCUUCAGCCAACUCUGCCUGGGAUAGCUUUCCUUUAGGCUCCCUUUGGGAACUGGAAACCACUGUGAGGUGUAUCCCAGAGACCUUCCAAUCAAAAUUAGAAGAUGUGUUUUUAGAAAGAUGCGUUUUGAGAGGGGAGCUUUCUGAAUGCUUGAUUGAAAUCAUCUCUGCAUAUCUGUUUCAUCAAAUGCACAGAGUGAGGAAUGUAAUUUCAUAUUUCUGUGGGAGGUUUGUUUAUACAUCUUACUUUAAAUAAAAUUACUGUAAUAUUUUCAGUUGAACAAAGACCAUGCACAGUCAGCUUUUGUAUGGACUGGAGCAAAGCACGCAGGAUGACUGAGGAGCCUGUCAGAAGACAAGGCACUGACAAGAUGGCAUGUGGACAGUGCCCAAACCUUCUCACUUCUGUAAUAAAUGCAAGCAACUGAUGAUGGCCAGAGUAAAGGAUGCCAUAUUGAAAUACCCACAACAUCUGCAAGGCUUUGGCCGCAGGCAUUCCUCACACAUCUCUUGGCCCUUCUGCUCCAAGGGCAGUUUUCUUCGGAGAAGGCAGUUAGAAAUCUGCAGCCCACAACUUGAAAUGAAGAUAACUGGAGUGUGUUCUGAAUGGCAGCCUCCCACAGACCAUUUAUUGUUGAUUACGAUGCUUCCAAAUGGCAACAGGCUUGAAUUUAGGGAAACAAGAUGGCACUGACAGAUGCAAACCGUUGCUUCUGGCAGCUGGAAGCUGAGCAGAUGAGAGGAAUGACAUUUUGCUGUGGAGCUGGAAAAUUUGGCAGUAGCUCGGGCUUUAAAACCACCACUGCUGCUGGGUGGGUGGUUUAUAGUUUCACAGAUCAUCAGACCUCAUAAUGAGAAGAGACAUGGAAUUUGGAACACAGUGGCAAAAUAGUGGCGAUGAUCCCUUUCAGAAGGAGGAGGCACAGCCAAGGGUCUCUCAGUGAAAGCAGUGCCGGCAACCCAGAGCCCUGCUGCCUGAACUGGGAGGAGCAGAGGGAAGAGAUGGGAGCAGGGCCGGAGCUGUUGGGCUGGAGGCUAUCAAAUCCCAGUGGCACUCCAUCGGGCAGCAGUGUCUGGCAGAGCAGAUGUCUAUUCUCAGUCUUCUUCUGGGGAGAUAAUGGCAACUCAGUUAAAACAAUGUCGUGGAAAGCAGGGUUGUAAGUAAACAUGAGUUUAACAAGCAUUGCUUGGUGUGCAUGAUGUCAGAUAAUAGCAUUGUUUCACCAGUACUCAGUGGCCCACCAAAGGCUGAGGCCGGGGGGUUUGGGGUGGUGCUGGGCAGCCCCACUGCUGCGGGAGCUUUUGCCAAGCUCUUGCUUGGUGACGACCAUGUCAGAGACCAAGAGGACGAGUCCUCCACCCCAGGAAGGAGGGUCCAUCGGCUAUGGACAUCUGGCUCUGGGAUUUACUGAGGACUUGUGGGUCGGUGUGGGCACUGCUCAGUGCGCAUUAUGUUUCUUCCGCCUCCUGAUUUAACUAUUUGUGUCGUUUUCAUUAUCAUUACUUAGAGUUCAAAAGAAUUAAGAAGCUGCACUUGCAGCUUGCACACAUAGGAGAAGGAUAUGCUCUCUUCAGCCUUGAGCUAUGUAAGACACUUUAAAACUAGAAUAUGUGGCUUGCUGCUAAUUUUCAUUACAGAGCAUAAGGUCAUUGUCUUCUUGGACAAACCUCGUGAGACUGGCAGCCCAGCACUAAAGGCACCAGACAUUACAGUUGCAGGUACUGUCUGACAUAUUUCGUGGUAGUACUACCAAAGUAUGAUGUUUUCUUUUUGUGGAUUGUUAAAGAAGGAGAUUAUCUUAGAAACGCGAUUUGAAAAUUGUACUUUCUUUUCAAAAUGUUACUUGUAGAAAUGUGAUUUUGAAAAAACAUUUUAAUUUACUGAACGUUUCGUGUGCUCCUGUGCUUGGUUUGAACCUACUGCAAAGCUCAUACGUCCACGAACACAUCGCUUUCUG
ensembl:lncRNA